CCUACGGGAGGCAGCAGUGAGGAAUAUUGGUCAAUGGGCGUAAGCCUGAACCAGCCAAGUAGCGUGAAGGAUGACGGUUCUAUGGGUUGUAAACUUCUUUUAUAAGGGAAUAACGUGCGGUACGUGUCGGGCUUUGUAUGUACCGUAUGAAUAAGGAUCGGCUAAUUCCGUGCCAGCAGCCGCGGUAAUACGGAGGAUCCGAGCGUUAUCCGGAUUUAUUGGGUUUAAAGGGUGCGUAGGCGGCCUGUUAAGCGUGCGGUGAAAGUUUGGGGCUCAACCAUGGCCUUGCAGUGCAAACUGGCGUGCUUGAGUCUGUUGAAAGCAGGCGGAAUGCGUGGUGUAGCGGUGAAAUGCUUAGAUAUGACGCAGAACCCCGAUUGCGAAGGCAGCCUGCCAAGGCAUGACUGACGCUGAUGCUCGAAAGCGCGGGUAUCGAACAGGAUUAGAUACCCUAGUAGUC
rnacentral:rRNA from 1 species